AGAGCGGGCCAGGCGACCGCUCGGAGACCUCGGUUUCCGGGAGGAAAGUCCGAACUGGGCAGGGCACGGUGGUGGUUAACGGCCACCGACAGCGAUGUCAGGGAAAGUGCCACAGAAAAUACACCGCCGAUGGGCGCCGCGCAAGCGGGGCCACAGGUAAGGGUGAAAUGGUGCGGUAAGAGCGCACCGCGCGUCCGGUGACGGUCGCGGCAGGGUAAACCCCACCGCCAGCAAGCCUGCAUAGACGACGAGCGGUCGGCUACGGCCGGCCCGUGAGGCGGCCCGCCUCACUCCGUCGCGGGUAGGGCGCACGAGCCGGUGAGCAAUCGCCGGCCUAGAUAAAUGGUCGCCGCCCCGCAUCGCGGGGAACAGAAUUCGGCUUAUCGGCCCGCUCUGUCA
rnacentral:RNase_P_RNA from 1 species